rnacentral:rRNA from 1 species
GUUGAUAAGGUUAAGUGAAUAAGGGCGCACGGUGGAUGCCUUGGCACUAGGAGCCGAUGAAGGACGGGACUAACACCGAUAUGCUUUGGGGAGCUGUACGUAAGCUAUGAUCCAGAGAUUUCCGAAUGGGGGAACCCAACAUCUUUAAUAGGAUGUUACGAUUGUGUGAAUACAUAGCACAUGCGAGGUAGACGCAGAGAACGGAAACAUCUAAGUACCUGCAGGAAGAGAAAGAAAAUUCGAUUCCCUGAGAAGCGGCGAGCGAAACGGGAAAAGCCCAAACCAGCAAGCUUGCUUGUUGGGGUUGUAGGACUCCAAUAUGGUAGUUCUUUCAGAUAGUCGAAUGACUUGGAAAAGUCAGUAAAAGAGGGUAAAAACCCCGUAGACGAAAUGUGGAAGACACCUAGGAGGAUCCUGAGUACGGC